rnacentral:misc_RNA from 1 species
CGCACCUUGCACCCCUUGGUAUUCCGAGGGGUACGCCUGUUUGAGUGUCGUGAACUCCUCCACCUUCUCUUUUCUGAAAAGGCUGGGAUUUGGGUGUUGCGGGUCCCUGGCCGAUCCGCUCGCCUUGAAUGCAUUAGCAAAGCCCUUGCGGCCUUGGUGUGAUAAUUAUCUACGCCUCGGCUUAGCGCUUUUGAAGAGCACUGCUUCUAACCGUCCUCGUGGACAACUUCACCAACUUGACCUCAAAUCAGGCGGGACUACCCGCUGAACUUAA